CCCACAGAAUCAAGAGCUAAUGAAAAUUGUCUAAGCCUCUGUGCAGUGGGGUUGUUGGCUAAGCUGCAAUAGAUGUUGCCUAGAGGGCUAAAUCACCCCAAGCGAGAAGUAUUGAGCUCGAGAAAUACCAUGGAUAUAUCCGACAGAGGCAUGGAUGUGGAUGGAGGGAAGAAGAAACUGACUGGAAUUAUGGCUAUAAUGAGGAAUGAAUGAGAAUAAAUGAAUGCAAAAUGUCCG